CUCGUCAGCGCCAUGCUCAAAGAGGCGGCCGG
rnacentral:scRNA from 1 species